GGGAGACGUCGCAGCUCGUUGAACGCACCAGUUUUCCAUCCAUCACUGAAGUUAAGCCAAUGUUGCUUUUGGUUGAUAUCUGGAUGGGUGACCAUCUGGGAAAUCGUGUGUUUCAGGCU
rnacentral:rRNA from 1 species